UACGAAAGGUGCAAGCGUUACUCGGAAUCACUGGGCGUAAAGCGCACGUAGGCGGACUCGUAGGUCAAUUGUGAAAUACCUGGGCUCAACCCGGGAACUGCAGUUGAAACCGCUUGUCUUGAAUACCUGAGAGGGUGGGGGAAUACCUGGUGGAGAAGUGAAAUUCGUAGAGAUCAGGUGGAACACCGGAGGCGAAGGCGCCUGCCUGGCAGUGUAUUGACGCUGAGGUGCGAAAGUGCGGGGAGCAAACGGG
rnacentral:rRNA from 1 species